CAGCUACAUGCAUGGAAAGGCGCUAAAAAUAAUUUAUAGUCGCUAUAUUUACUUUUCAAUUUUUUUUAAGGUGUUGCCGAUUCUUGGAGAAUUUACAGGAUGGAAGCAAGGAAGUUUGAGUUUGUCAGUGAAGAGGAGCUUUUAAGCCUUGGAGGAGAUCAGGACUGCUGUUACUGCAGAACAUCUGUUACAGCAUCCAGUGAUCAUAUAUCCAAACGGCAUCUAACAUUUGCCAUUCACUUUAGAGUCACUAAGCAAGUUUGCAAUACCAUGUUACUGUCCUGAUUGACAAAGUGGUAGAAGGAGCCACUGGCAUUGUUCAAAGUGCAAGAAAGUAAUUCAAAGGUCUUUUGAUUUCAAAUGCCACUUAAAAAGACAUGGUCUGAUGUUCCCAGAAAAAGCCUCAGGUUGACACAUAAUACAUAACCAUCCUACACAGUAAAUGUAAUAAAGUGG